GAUGAACGCUGGCGGCGUGCCUAAUACAUGCAAGUCGAGCGAACAGACGAGGAGCUUGCUCCUCUGACGUUAGCGGCGGACGGGUGAGUAACACGUGGAUAACCUACCUAUAAGACUGGGAUAACUUCGGGAAACCGGAGCUAAUACCGGAUAAUAUAUUGAACCGCAUGGUUCAAUAGUGAAAGACGGUUUUGCUGUCACUUAUAGAUGGAUCCGCGCCGCAUUAGCUAGUUGGUAAGGUAACGGGUUACCAAGGCAACGAUGCGUAGCCGACCUGAGAGGGUGAUAGGCCACACUGGAAGUGAGACACGGUCCAGACUCCUACGGGAGGCAGCAGUAGGGAAUCUUCCGCAAUGGGCGAAAGCAUGACGGAGCAACGCCGCGUGAGUGAUGAAGGUCUUCGGAUCGUAAAACUCUGUUAUUAGGGAAGAACAAAUGUGUAAGUAACUAUGCACGUCUUGACGGUACCUAAUCAGAAAGCCACGGCUAACUACGUG
rnacentral:rRNA from 1 species